GCUGCACCAACAAUUGGACCAAAUCCUGGCAAAAUAUUGACAACUCCUGGUGGAAAGCCAGCCUGUCAAAACAGGAAUGAAUGAAUGAAGAUGUUUGACAACUCCCCAGUGAAGAUGAGACUAUUUGUGCCACAGACUGAGAUGAUCAGUUUGGUUUUCCAAGUUAUCUUUCACAGAUGCUAGCAGUGGUUCACAGACUAUAGGAAGAUUCAUCAGAUCUGACAGAAGCAAAGUAGAAAUCAAAAUACAGAGAAGUACAUACAAGCAAAACUGUCUAAGUGCUCAAGAGGAACACAGAGGAGUCAGCUAAAAAUACCAGCUUGUACUCGGUAGUACUGUGAGAGGAAAAGAAAACUUCAACAAAAACAGCAACAACAGAAGAUUGGGAGGUUUCAGAUUUAUUAGCACACUGAAUAGAAAGACAAGAUUUAAUAGUGGGGGUUUUUUUGGUUUUGUUGUCUUAUCUUUGGUGAGCUGAUGGUAAGUGAACAUAAAGAGCACCACUGUUUAACAGCGGCUUUGCCCCAAAAUAGCUUCAUGAGAAUGACAAAUUUAUGGUGUGAAAGCAGAGGAAUAAAGAGAAGUGUUAAACGAAGAAGAACUAAUUGAUCCCCUGAAGAUUUGUGAAUGGACUUAUGAUUUUACACUACUGAAAACUGUGUUAGCAUAAAGUUUGCACUGAGGAAGGCAUGCUGAAAAUGUGCCUUCCUUUCACCCACCAUAGCCCACCUUACCGAAAAAAAAAAUCAGGUUUUAUCCUAUAAGGUACUUGAAACCAAGAAUAAGCAGAGAAUAUUUCUUCUCCUUAAUCUGGCAGUGCCUUUUGGUUGCUGACCUAAUUUCUGUGUACCUGUGGGGCUAAGGACUGAGAAAGAAGCAUUCACUGACCAGGGAGAAGGAGAUUAGGGAACAGGAAAUUUGCUGAAUACAUGAAUUUAUGGUGUGGUCUGCACUUUUGUGUGAUUAAAUGUGAAGUGCAAGCAGCAAAACUGGGAUUUACGAAUCUCAGUCUAAAUGACUGUGGAAAACUUUGAGUCCUUGUAGGAAUGUCUACUCCUGAAAUAUUAUUAUUGUCAUUUCCUUGGUGAAAAUAAGAUAGUGAAGAUAAACACCAGUCAGUGCACACUGCAAUUUUAAUAAGGUGAAACACUAAAAUGAGUAACACUGCAAGACAAGUUACAGGUUGUUUCCCUUCUGAAAAUUUUAGAAGGCACAUUUUCAGUUUAUCUGCUUGCCUCACUUGGGUAGUUUGGUGCUUUGCUGUAGAGAGGCGAGUGAGAGUACUGCAGAUACUGUCACACAGUGAAACACCAGGGAAAUAUCUGGGCAACAGCAAUGGGCCUUUAUCCCUGAGUGUGCCCUCAUGUGCAAUGAACACGUGCACCAUGAAGCCAAAAAGAAUCCAUGUAAUGAAUGUUUGUUUUCCUUAAUGCUUUUCCAGAGAUUUGUUUUAUGCUGAUGAAAGACGAGUACACUUAUCUUAAUGACUGUACCUACAUAAAAUCAUUUUCUGCUUUUUUGCCAUGUCGUGUAAUUAUAGCACUUGGUACAUCUAGUCCGGACUGCAAAUGAAUAUGUUUGCAUCAGACAAUGCAGCCUGUAUUUGUAAAACAGCUGGGAGGGAAGGGCAGGAAGAAGAGAGUUGUUGAAGAAAAAAUAAUGGAAUGGUCAUUCCGUGGAUUUUGUCUGCCCAACCAGCGUAAUACCUCAGGGUUUUUAUGACUCCCUGGAGAUCUACAUAGAAAGCUUGCAAGAAUGGUUUGCCACUGUUCAGUGAUUCCAUAGUCUGCAGGACAAGAAAAAGUUAAGAGAUCAAGAAUUGCCCUGUCCCUUUCGACCAAGUCUGCUAACUUAUCCAAGAGAUGGCCUCUUUCCGAGGCAUCCAUUCUCCUCCAAACGGAC